UACAUACAUGCAAGCACAUGUACACUUACAAACACAGGGGUACAUACAUGCAAGCACAUGUACACCUACAAACAUACACCUGCAUACAUGCACACAUCGAUACACACGCUGACAGGCACCGCAAAUAAUAUCAAAUAAAAGGUAAAGUAUGUGAUGAAGGGUAAAGUGGGAUUUUACAUCAGGAAGAUAUAAAACAUUCAUCAAACAGCCAUACAUCCUUUGCACAGCAUUUAGGAAGCACUGUUGAUUUAUUUUAUUAAGUAAAUACGUACUAGAUAUCUCACAUAAUAAUGCAUUGAUAUUGAUAUUGAUAGUGAUAUUAGUGACUCUUGCAACUGUUGUUGGGGGGAACAAAAAUAGUGGAUCAAUGUUAUUAUUUUUAUCAGAGCACAAAGGUUGGCGGUUGGCUUAGUAAAAUGUAUUAAAUUAAUUUAGCUAUAAAAACACUCCAUUGAUUUGUUUUAAAGGGAAGAAAAUGUUGCUUAAUGGAUUCAACUAGGCCUAGAUUAAUCUGAUUUUUUUUUUUUUUUUUAAGAAAGGAAAGAAAUUUGAAUUUUGGUAAAAACAUUGUUUGGUUUCGUGGAAAAGCCCUCCACAUUUACAGAAACACACAGUGUUCUGAGACUCAUGACAUCACGUGACAUCACAUCAUUUUAAGAUUUUCAGGAGCUGCUCUUAUCCAGAGUGACUUACGUCAAUGCACACACACAGCUACAGGCAGCAAAUAGCCUGAUGCACUCUCAAAAAGCAUGUGUUUACAAACACACACUUUUUGUGUUGUGUUACUUUCAACACAUUUCGUGUCUAAGUUACAACUUUUGUGUUACAAAUGCACAAUUUACAGUCUUACAAAGAGAGGCUUUUUACUACAGACUAUGUGGAAAGUAAUACAAAAUGUGUUGUCCUUAACGUGACAUAGAGGUGUGUUAAAAAACUGACGCAUUGUGUGUUGUUUUUAACACAUUUUGAGAGUGUACCAUGUCAUUUGUAUAGCAACAAGUAGUAUCUUUUAACACAUAACUUACUCUGACGUAGCAAAUACAUGAAACCUUCAACAUAAUGUUAAGCACCUCAGUAGGUGCAAGACGAAAACUGAGCUUCAUAUUCACAAAGCCUUUCAAAUUGGUAGUACUGGUCUAAAGUCAUCAGUCUGUUCAUUUGAAUAGUCACUAGGGCAAGUGUUCAUGGGCACAGACUCCCUCUCCUCCAACCCCCAAAUCAGCCCUCAAACUGAUUGUGAAGCUUUAUGAAUUUGGGCCUGAGAAUGUGCUGACUCAAGCAGAACACGGGUGUCACAAUCCAAAGGUCGUGCUCCCUACACAGGUAGAUGAAACUGCAAAAGGAAUGAUGCUUCCUAGGAGAGUGCCCAACACUCAAAUUAGCCCCGGUGGGAUAACCAGGGGAAAGAAAAGGAUGAGAAAUGUGUGGCAGUUGAGAAAGAAAGGCAAAACAGAAGUGCCUCUCGCCCUUUUUUUGGAUCUCUGUUCACGGUUGGGGCUGUGGUUUGUGGGAGUGUUUAUCUGCGGUGUCAAGCUGCUCAUUGUAUAAAAAAAAAAUUUUGGUUUUAAGAAAAAUAAUAACUUUCACUUUCUGUGACGCAAAUGAAUAUUGUGACAAACGUUUUCACUUUUUUUCUUCUUUUGUUGUCUGUGUAGCUUUGGCUUAAUUCUGUCUGCACUACGCAAACGGCAUACGCAUCAUUAAAUUGGGUCAUUUUGCAAUUUCACAGUGACAUUUUUAAUGUACAGCAUUUUAGAUAUUUGUGGAAACAUUAAAUUCUGAAAGGUUUUUGAGAGAAUGAAGAACAAUAAAGGAUCUGAAUACUGAA